CGCUCGGCGGGGCCGGCUGCGCCGCCCGGGCCGGCCGGGCGAGGGGUGCGCAGUGGCCUUGCUUUGCCGGGCCCUUAUUUGGCCAAGCACAAAACUUUUCUUGCCCAGUGAUACUUCCUGACUGAUCUAAUACACGAAGAGGGUGCAAAAGGCGACCACCAUUUCUGUGCACGAUUUCUUGGGGCCGUACCAGUCUAGAAAGCCAAGGUGCAGCCAGCUGGAAUCAAUAAUACCCCUCUCAUGCUGAACUCAGUUGACCCCGGUUUCCUAGCAGAGCCUGACUCAGGCGGGCAGGUGUGGCGCUCUGCUCCAUGAACACAUUUUUGCCUCAACGCUCUACUGUCUCUAGGGUACUGGCCU